GCCGUUGUUUAUCUUUUUAGCUGUUACUCGAUCAAUUUUCUGAUAAUGGCGUUGAACACCGGAAUCAGAUCGAUCUCAAAGAUCAUAGCUUCAUCCGAGUCAUUAGUCUCCAGAUCUGGUUCGUGCUUUACAUUUCUCUCUUUGGUGGUCUAGGGUUUUGUUUAUUUGCCCAGAUAUCGACGACACAUUUGUAUUGGGUUUGACAUUUUGGUAUCUCUGGUUAGUCUCAAAAUGCUCCGACGACCCAAUUCGUCGUUGGUUGAUUGGUUGUUUCCUUGUUUCACAUGAACCUAUCAAAGUUGUU
rnacentral:lncRNA from 1 species